rnacentral:tRNA from 1 species
GUCCUGGUGGCGAAGUGGAAACGCUGGGGACUGCAAAUCCUUCAUGCGCGGGUUCGAUUCCCGCCCAGGACU